CUGUAUAAACGUGAAGGAAUUUUCCGUAUUAGUCAUUUACAGGUAUUUUUCUGUAUUUCUCAACUACUGCAAUGCAUUGUGGGAAAAAGAACCCGAAAAGGAGGGAAAAGUAAGCGCAAGAGCAGCCAUUAGGCUUCUUUCAGGCUUCAUCUGGAUUUUGGACUCUGAAGUUGGAGAAACUGCCUUCAAAUUUCUGUGUGCAGAGCAAUGGCCAAGAAAAGGAAAGACUUCCCCGAGUGGAAAAAAAAGAUGAAGAUACAAGCUGGUGAUGAUCCAGAGCAGCUGGUCUCAGGAAAUGAAGAAAAACCCUGAUCACCUUCUCUACAAACACAAGAAUAAAUUGCGACUAGUCUCAAUGGCUGAGAUGGAGGAGCAACACAGCGACACGUUAACCCCGACUGCUGCAGUUCCUGUAUGAACUGAGCAACUCUGAAAAUCCAAGGAAAAGCUGAGUGUAUUUUA